rnacentral:ncRNA from 1 species
CGAAUAUAACUUUAGUGAACUCGUAUAACCCCGGCGAUGGGGCCGGGGGUUUCUACCAGGUGACCGGAAUCACCUCGACUACGAGGGUAACCGUCAGCUGG